rnacentral:misc_RNA from 1 species
CCGAAUUGUCAACAUGAGUUGUUGCUGGCCCUCAAAUGGGGGCACGUGCACGCUCUGUUCACACAUCCACUCACACCUGUGCACCCUCUGUAGUUCUAUGGCCUGGGGGACAAUGUCCUCCUGCUGUUGUCCUACGUCUUUACACACACACUGUAAUAAAGUCUUAUGGAAUGCAUGUCGCGUUUAACGCAAUACAAUA